rnacentral:rRNA from 1 species
CGUGUAGGCGGCCUCUUAAGUCUGGUGUGAAAGCCCGGGGCUUACCCCCGGAAGUGCACUGGAAACUGGGUGGCUAGAGUACCGGAGAGGAGGGUGGAAUUCCUGGUGUAGCGGUGAAGUGCGUAGAUAUCAGGAGGAACACCGGUGGCGAAGGCGGCCCUCUGGACGGAUACUGACGCUGAGACGCGAAAGCGUGGGGAGCAAACA